AUACAUAUGUCCCAAGCGUUACCCGGAAUUAUUGGGUGUAAAGGGUCCGUAGGCGGAUUAUUAAGUUGAAUAUGAAAGACCGAGGCUCAACCUCGCGUUUGUAUUCAAAACUGGUAAUCUAGAAUUAGGGAGAGGUAAGCGGAAUUCUUAGUGUAGGGGUGCAAUCCGUAGAUACUAAGAAGAACACCAAAAGCGAAGGCAGCUUACUGGAACUAUAUUGACGCUGAGGGACGAAAGCGUGGGGAGCGAAGAGGAUUAGAUACCCUAGUAGUCC
rnacentral:rRNA from 1 species